AUGUUUCAACUUCUGUUCCCACAAGAAAAUCCGCUUUCUCCCUUUAGAACUCGUUGUUCCCGUAUCAACAUUCUCUCUUCACCGGCGAGUUCUGCCUAUCUCCGCCUAUCUCAUCCUCCAUGUUACCGCAAAUUGGAAAUCGGUUAUGUUGUUAGGGAAGUUAGAGGAAUUGUUGUGAUGAAUGAGUUAACUCUAAACUGGUUAACUUGGUUUAGUGUUAAACUGUUUGUGAAGUUGGCUUUCUGGACCGGUUUUGCUUCAAGAUUUUGCAGGGGCUGUUUAUGUUUUGUUAAAGGUUGA